rnacentral:lncRNA from 1 species
UUUGAAUAUUUAACCAGCUUUGCAUCCCUGGAAUAAACUCUGCUAGGUCAUGGUAUAGAAUUCUUUUUACAUACUACUAAAUUCUAUUUGCUAACAUUUUUGUCACCGAGUUUUGCAUCUAUCUUCAUGAGGGAUACUGAUCUGUAGUUUUGCUUUUUUUGUACUGUGUGAGUCUGGUCUUGAUAGUGGGCUAACACUAACUUCACAAAAUGAAUUGGGAACUAUUUUCUCAUCUCUGGAUGAAACUGUGUAGAAUUGGUGUCAAUACUUUAAAUAUUUGGUAGAAUUCGCCAACGAAAUAGUUGGGCCAGUGUCUUCUCUCUUUCCCUCCAACUCUCCUCCAACAUCUUACUUUCUCAAGUCCUUUCACCAUUGGCAAGGUCUGCUGUCUAUAAUAAAUUCCUUAUUCCAUAAUACUCAUAGUAUCUGCCUCUAUGAUUAAGUCCCAACUUUCUUAAGCCAUUUGCUAUUAAACUGAAAUAAUAAAUAUAGUUUAUUUUGACCAAGCACUUUAAACUUUUUUUUUUGCCUUUUAGGGCCGCACCCAUGGCAUAUGGAGGUUCCCAGGCUAGGGGUCCACUUGGAACUGUAGCUGUUGACCUACGCCAGAGCCAUGUCUGCAACCUACACCACAGUUCACGGCAACGCCAGAUCCUUAACCCACUGAGUGAGGCCAGGGAUCAAACCUGGGUCCUCAUGGAUGCUAGAAGAUAUGUUAAAGAAGUUAAGUAAGCUGUAAAAAAACAGAGUAAGGAUCAGAGGCAGGAUGGAAAUCAAACUCUCAGCCAUGAUACUCUCCCGAAGUUCUUGCUCUUUCUUGGCAUCUCAUUUCUCUUUCAGAAGACCGGGAGUGUGCUGCUAAUGGAAAACAUCUAUUUGAGUCUGAGUUAUGUCCAUCAUGUCCAGUAUAACCCGUGCAUUCAAUUUUGCUAGCUUUCUCUUUAUACCCACAUCUUUCCCUUUUUCUUCUUUUCUCUGCCCAUUGAGGAGUUUUUGCCCCUGAAUUUUUUUCUCCAUCUAAAUGCCCCCUUUCCUCCCUAUUGCCUUUUAUAUACUGGGAAAGUAGGCGACACUAACUGAUACAUCCACUUCCAGGUCUGCUAGGCCGCACAGAAGUAAAGCAGAGGCAGAAGAACAAGGACGAUACUGGCUGGGGAGGUGGCAGGAUGGCUGGGACGGCGUGCUUCAUAGAAGGUGUGUCCAUUAGAGUAGGAACCAGUGGGGAUGUGUCAGGCCAGCAGCCAUAAACGUGCUUAAAAACCAGCAGAAAAUGGUGAAGAGUUACUCUGAGAAACUGCUUCUCUGGUUUUGGCUUUUUUUUUUUUUUUCUCACUCUGGGGUCAGUCCGUUCAUUUAUUAAAAUGUCUACCAUGUCUUAAGAAACAGCACCAAUGCACUAAAAUAAGCAACAUUUCUGAUGCAGAAAUGAACAUUUAAGCAGAUGCAGCCCAGAUCCAUCUCAUUCUGUGUGUGUGUGUGCACAUGUGUGUGUGCUUGUGUGUGUGUAUUUAUUCUUUUCCCUGAGUGCCUUUGGUUGGUAAAAGCCAUCAAAUAUCAUCGGGAAUUAUCACUAGUUUUUUGAACAGCCCUGAAGAAUUAAAGGGAGAGAGUAAGAGAGAAGGAAUAAGAGGAAGAGAAAGAAAAAGAGAGAAAGAGAGAGAGAGAGGUUAAGCUCAAAGGCACAGAGAGCGAAAUGGACCAGAUUAUACAAAAUUAAAAAGCAAAUACGGGCAGACAAUUUGUGCCGAGUGAUUGCAAGCAAUUACAGUCCGGCUUUUCUGGAGGGAAGAUGGGGGAGGGGGUUAUUUCAGCUUAAAAGGAGACUUUAUUCAUUCCUGAUCAGCUUCUCCUACCAUUCUCUCUUUUAUUCUUGGAUAUCAAUUUAAAAAAAAAAAAUCAGCUUUCAGAUGUUCCAUGUCCACCCCUGCAAAUCCACUCCUGGGCAGACAGUGAGAGUUUAAGCUUCCCAUCGGUUCUUUCUAUAGCCCUGAAAACCAAUUUGUUCAUAAAGAAUAAAAUAAGGGGGGGGGGAGGGUGGAAAACACAACAAGAGCAUGUGUUUCUUUUAGAGGAGAGCUUCAAUUUUACUAUAAUUGUCUAAAGACAGAGCUGCUUUGAUCUGAAGAAUUAUUAUUGUGCCUCAAAUGCCGGCUGCUAAUGUCACAGCUGUGCUGGGGCUUGGUCACGCCGAGGGGCUUGGGGACCAACUUAGUCCCUGACCUGCCUCUGGGUCCCUCUUUCCUUAUCUUUCCUUUGUCCACAAGGGAAAGUUUGUUUCCUGGUAUGUCCAUGGCUCUGUUGGUUUUAUCCAGGGUCCUGGGGAGGCGGGAGCCUAGCAGGGGUGACAUAAUGAGGGGCCACUGAGGUUGGGCAGGAGGGAGCAGGCAGAGCUGGAUGUAAACAUGCCCAGGACAGGUGAUAUGGUCACUAAACCAGAGAACCUGGCUGCUCUUGGUCUCCCAGUGCAGGAAAGAGCAGCGCGGAAGAGGGCCCCCUUGCCUUCCAGAAACCCAGAGAAAAUUCACUGCCUUUCCCAGAUUUCAAUUCCCCGUUAUUUUCCCUCUUUCCAGCUUAGGCUGCACUGAAGCAAAGAGCAGCUCAAGAGUAGAGUUAAACAAUUUUCUUUUAGAAGAAAAUGGGCGGAAAAAACUAUAUCUAGGGUCUGAGAGCCGAGCCAUCUUUGGCUCAUGUUUUCCUUCCCAAAGCCGAAAGAGAGAACCAGAGGGCUUGUUCUCCCAAAUUGCUCCCUGGGUGGGCUGGGCAAGAAGGAUAGGCCCUUGGCUGCUGGAAUUGCCCUGUCUGCUCCUCACCUCUGCCAAGGGCCUCUGAGGCCUCUGGUGGGUCAAGUAUUCCUUCUCUGGCUUCCCACUGCCUACAGUGCCAUCUAGACUUCCUAGCCUGGCACUUGAGGCUAUGCAGGUAAGCUGCCCACAAACCUUCCUGCAGCCCCAUCCUGCUCUGCCACCUCAAGUGAUGGCACCUCACCUCUGUUUCAGAUGCUCUGGCAAAUUCUCGCUGCUGGGCCUUUGCUUAUGCCUUUCCACCUGCCUGGAAUAUGACCUCUCCCUUCUCACCCCUCUCCUGAAUCCUCACCCCUUCUUGGCUCCCCUUCAAGCCCAAAGUGCCAAUGAGACAGAUGGGUAAGAAAAUUACCAUCAGUGGACCGGGAAACACAAUUUUGGAGACACAGAUGCCAAACUGGGCUGCAUUCUAGCCCAGGGAGCCUGUGACACUAAAGAGAGGACAGACGUGGAGGGAGAACCUCAGCCCCAGCCUCCAAGCUGGGGUUUCUCAUGCUGGUAGAAUGGAGAGAUUUCUUUCAAAGAAAAUGCAGUAAAACAUAAGAAUGUUUGUGAGUGCUUAGGUUCUGAAGAUUCAGUUGGAGAAACACUGGCUUGAGAAACAAACAAAACCUCAGCAACAUGAAAAUAUAAACAUCACUGUAGCUCUACAAAGGAAGAGAUGCAAAUUCCCCACAAAAACCAUUCCUUCCAACCGCGUUUCCUUGAAACAAAAACUACUUCUGGAAGACUUUUAUUAGCUGUGCAAGUAUGGGCCACUUACUUCUCUGAGCCUUGGUUUCCUCAUCCAUAAAAGGAAGAGAAGUGAGAGUACCUACCUCAAAGUGUUACCAGAGGAUAAAAUGAGGUAACACACGUGGCGAAGCGCUUACGUCAUCCCUGGCACCUGGUCAAUUCUCAACCCGCGGCAGCUGUUAUCCAACAGAUCCUGUUGGUUUCUGGGAAAUCCAAGGGCCUCAUCCUCAGUUCCUCACUCCUCCUUUAGCUCCAGGAUAUCUGACAUCCUGGGGCUUAUAGGGAGUGGGCAUAAGGAUGCUUAGGAGACUGAGGCUUUGAGGAAGGCUGAGUUGCAGCCCCAGGAAGCACAAGGAGGCACAGAGAAAAACGUGAAGUUUGAGUAAAGGCAGCAGCGGGGGGCGAGGGGUGAACUGGUUUUCCAGGGUGAUGUGGGUAGGAAGUGACAGGUACAGAAUACCUGGAGAGACGCCUUAAGGGUGAGGGAGUCUUCACUGCAGAGCUGGAGGAAGAUCUAGUUCAAGAGAAGAAUGGAAAAGGUUCUGGUUAAAGAGAAAUGAUCUCCACACCUCAGUAAACCUUGAGGUAAGAAGCAGGAGUCAGGCAAGGAGGGAGAGACACGAAAGUAUAGAGAGCUCAAGGAAAUCUAGAGAACCAUUUAGGGGCAACGUUGAGAAUAGAGGGUGAGGAGGCAGUACGUCUCCAGAAGAACAACACAGCUUGGUUGACUUUGCUAUCAACUUCCAUUAACUGCCCAGUAACUUUGGUGCUAGAAGAGGAGUGAGGAAGCCCAUGCAGAUUUGUACACCAUCUAUAAAUGGUGGCCCUGAACCUCCUGCUCUCCUUCCUUGCAGGGAAAGGGGCUUGAACAGAAACAGAGAAGAAGUUGUAAAAAUGAACAGAAUUUUGGCAGCAGAGAAGUAUUCAAUAGAAAGGGCACUAAUGGCUGCAACUUACUUUGACAUCAAUCAUAAAAAAUAAAAGGAUAGACUGAUGGAUGAGCAGAAGGAAGAAGAGAUGGACAGACUGUGAUAAAGCAAAUAGGUUCCAAUGUUAAUAGCUGAAUGUAGAUGGUAAGUGUAUGGGUGUUUGCUGCAAAAUUUUUUUCAGUUUUCCAUGUCUUAGCGAAUUUUCUUUUUUCUUUCUUUCUUUCUUCUUUCUUUCUUUUCUUUACUUUUUUUUUUUUUUUUUGGUUUUUUUAGGGCUGCACCUAUGGCAUAUGGAAGUUCCUAGGCUAGGGGCUGAACUAGAGAUACAGCUUCUGGCCUAUGCCACAGCCACAGCAACAUUGGGUCUGAGUCAUAUCUGUGACCUACACCACAGCUCACGAAUACUAGUCAGAUUCGUUACCCCUGACCCACAAUGGGAACUCCAAUUUUUACUUUUUUAGAAAAUUUUUAUAAUAAAAAAUUAGAAAAAAUUAGGCAAUAGUGUCCAAAAUAACCCAUACCCUGAUGGCCCCAAGACAAGUUGUCCCUAGAGAGAAGUUGGCAGAUUGGUGAGAGGGUAGAUUUUCCUCAACUUUCCUCCCUUGUCUUUGAGCCCCCUGGUGCUGUCCACACACCUCUCCUGAGGCUGGACAACCUGCUAAGAAUGUUGCUUGUAAAGAUUUAAGCUAUGAGCCCACCCUGUGGAAUCUGUAUUUUAUCCAAUCUCUCCUGAUGAGUGAUACAAGUUGACAAAUAAAUAAAUCUUCAGAAGUGGAAUCUGGCCAAUGGAGAAGAAGCUUUAGAUGAUACAUGAGUUGGGACUAGGGAUGGUUGCAAGCGCCAGGCCAAAACAAGGGUCACUUAAACAAAAUGAAGUUUGUUUCAUGCUCACACAAACAAAGUCCAAAUGGAAGGUGCCCAAGACUCUCUACCUCAAGCAUCUCGAGAACC